rnacentral:rRNA from 1 species
GGCUGGGGGCCUCCAACCACGCAGCCAUUCGGCGGUGGUCCAUUUAUGAAUGGUCCCCACCAACACCCGUUGGCUGUGGAGCCCCGCCGACCGAUAAUGAUACAUUCACAACAAUCAUCCUCAGAAUCAACCUGUGUGUGUGCCUUGAGCGUCUAGCACGCCAAGCAAGCUAACUGAAAGUAACACUGUACAAUGGAUUUCUUGGCUCCCACAUCGAUGAAGAACGCAGCAAAGCGCGAUAGGUAGUGUGAAUUGCAGAAUUCCGUGAAUCAUCGAAUUUUUGAACGCACAUUGCGCUCAAGCCUUCGGGCUUGAGCAUGUCUGCCUCAGCGUCGUUUCAAAUGGCUUGCCGUCCGUGACCCUUGCCACUCCCCUCAGGGAUGGCAUGGGUUUAAACCGUGACCUCCGGCGCGUCCGUCCAUCCGUGGGCGGCGUGCGGCAGCAGCCACUCCGGCACUGCUCAUCGUAAGCAUGCUGCAUACCGUGGCACAACAAUGCUCUACCAUGGGCCCUGCUGGUUAGUUGGUGAUGUAGUGUGUGGGGCUUGUGCUUGCGCGCAAGCUGUGCUCUCUCCUUCAUCAGCUGGACCCCCCUGGCUGCGCAACACACCAUUCGACCUGAGUUUAGGCAGGGUUACCCGCUAC